GUAGUCAUAUGCUUGUCUCAAAGAUUAAGCCAUGCAUGUCUAAGUAUAAGCAUCUAUACUGUGAAAUGCGAAUGGCUCAUUAAAUCAGUUAUCGUUUAUUUGAUAGUACCUUACUACAUGGAUACCUGUGGUAAUUCUAGAGCUAAUACAUGCUGAAAACCCCGACUUCGGAAGGGGUGUAUUUAUUAGAUAAAAAACCAAUGCCCUUCGGGGCUCCUUGGUGAAUCAUAAUAACUUAACGAAUCGCAUGGCCUUGCGCCGGCGAUGGUUCAUUCAAAUUUCUGCCCUAUCAACUUUCGAUGGUAGGAUAGUGGCCUACCAUGGCGGCAACGGGUAACGGGGAAUUAGGGUUCGAUUCCGGAGAGGGAGCCUGAGAAACGGCUACCACAUCCAAGGAAGGCAGCAGGCGCGCAAAUUACCCAAUUCCGACACGGGGAGGUAGUGACAAUAAAUACUGAUACGGGGCUCUUUUGGGUCUCGUAAUUGGAAUGAGUACAAUCUAAACCUCUUAACGAGGAACAAUUGGAGGGCAAGUCUGGUGCCAGCAGCC
rnacentral:rRNA from 1 species